GAUGAACGCUGGCGGCAUGCCUAACACAUGCAAGUCGAUCGGUAAGGCUCUUCGGAGUACACGAGAGGCGGACGGCUGAGUAACGCGUAGGAACACACCCUGCAGUGAGGGAUAAGACACCGAAAGGUGUUCUAAUACCGCAUACGGUCUUCGGAUUAAAGCAUUUAUGCGCUGAAGGAGUGGCCUGCGCCAUAUUAGAUAGUUGGUGAGGUAAUGGCUCACCAAGUCGAUGAUGUGUAGCUGGUCUGAGAGGAUGAUCAGCCAGACUGGAACUGAGACACGGUCCAGACUCCUACGGGAGGCAGCAGUGAGGAAUAUUUCACAAUGAGCGAAAGCUUGAUGGAGCAAUGCCGCGUGCAGGAUGAAGGCCCUCGGGUUGUAAACUGCUUUUAUAAGAGAAGAUUAUGACGGUAACUUAUGAAUAAGAGACGGCUAACUACGUG
rnacentral:rRNA from 1 species